CCCUUGUAGCUCAACUGGUUAGAGCACGGUGCUUAUAGUUUGCUGCGAAACUAUGAUCUGAGCAACGCCGUGGUUCGCGGUUCGAUCCCGCUGGGUAAGGGA